CAGUCGCCGCGGUAAUACGGAGGAUCCAAGCGUUAUCCGGAAUCAUUGGGUUUAAAGGGUCCGUAGGCGGUCUUGUAAGUCAGUGGUGAAAGCCCAUCGCUCAACGGUGGAACGGCCAUUGAUACUGCAGGACUUGAAUUAUUGGGAAGUAACUAGAAUAUGUAGUGUAGCGGUGAAAUGCUUAGAGAUUACAUGGAAUACCAAUUGCGAAGGCAGGUUACUACCAAUUGAUUGACGCUGAUGGACGAAAGCGUGGGUAGCGAACAGGUUUAGAUACCCCCGUAGUCCCUGUCUCUUAUAC
rnacentral:rRNA from 1 species